UCGCUUCCCUGCGCCUCCUCGCCUCCCUCUGCUCCAGGCCUCCCUCUCUCGCGCUGCUAGGAGCUGCUCCUGGUGUCUAGCAGCUGCCUUCCCCUCACUCAUCGCAUCAAUCUCCUGCUCCCUCUCUCUCCAACAUCCCCCGCUGUCCUCUCGCAUCACACACAGGCGGUGGCUGUACAUAUCUGGUCGGGUGUGGCGUGUGUGGCAUCUGUGAUGUGCUUCGGCCGACCGGUUGUCCAUGCAUAGGAAGUGAAUGGUUGCAGGCAGAGGAAGCUGUUGGCCGUUGUCAGAGGAGGAUUAGGAUAGUUCCCUUCAUCUUUGUCAGAAAAUGAUAGUUCCCUUGAUUUGUUUUGUUCCGAAUUAGUACAAAAGUGCUAUGAUAUUUGUUUUGUGCCGCAGGAGCUUCAAGACAGCAGGGACCAAUUGCAACCUUCAUUUAUCUGUUCUGUGAACCAAUUUGUGAUGGCUUCUAAAUGCACUUGGCUGGAACAGAGCAAUUUUUUGGUAGUCUUCAGCCGGGAGAAGAUGGGUGCAGAGAAGAGUGAAACGGGCUCAGUCAGGUGUGAAAAGGAGAAUUUGAGAGAUAGCAACGAUGUGGUGCUGCACUGCUGCUCUCUUACUGCUAGCUUGCUACUUCUAGCUGAAUUUUGCUAUUUCUGCUAGCUGAAUUUUGCAUAGGCAUGGCGAGCUGUUUGAUUUCGUGGCAGGCCUGCUUAUCCUCAAUGUGUUCUGACUCGGAGGUUGGAGCCAGUUCGCAACUUUGAAUGUUGAAGCUGACAACGGACUCAAGCACUCCACCAUAUUCUUAGUAUUGCAUACCGUCACCGCUAAGGACUUAGCCAAGCUGCUUUUAAAAGUCAUAUAACAACUAAGUGCUAGAUAUUGUCAUAGAUAGAUUUUGGUGGAUAGGAAUUUAAUAAGCUACAAAGUAGUGUAGGUCGAGAUGAACAAAGAAUGGUAUGCAAAAUGUGUAACAUUAUUUGAUACAUUUACAUUGACAGGUCUGGACUCGCUGGAGGGUUGUAUGCUUUUGAUUGAUGAAGCUUAACACUUCUGCUCACUCAUUAUUUAUUCUAUAUUCAUAAAAUAUAUAUUUAUUUUGUACUAUAUCAUAGCAUGUUUGACGAGCAGAAGAAGAGACGGCCAUGGUGCUAGCUGAUAGCACCUGCUAACUUAAGAAGUCUACAUACCUUUUAUCUAAUAACUAAAAGAGAGUUUCUUACCAACUACUGAGCUUACAAGUCUUAGAUCUGUCUCUAAAGCCACUACUCAACUUCAUGUUGGUACUUUGCUGUAGAGUAUACCUCUAUAAUUCUCCAUCUAAGAUAGUACUAAAGUUUAUUGAUGAUGCUUAGUUUCAGGAUAUGCCUUACAAGUCAUCCAUGUGAGAUAUCCAAGGGGUUCAAGACGGAUUGAAAAGGAGCUGGAGUAGGUGGUCGAUUGAGGAAGGAGCUGGAGCAGAGGUGGAAUCGAGGCUGCCCCUACGUGCGCUAAGAAGCUGCCAGAAAUUAUGAGGCGCCUGCCAUCCGGACACUGCUGCGCUUUCUCCAUCUCUCAAGAUAAUUUUCUUCAGUUCAUCGAACUACGUGCUGAAACAUGUGUAUUGUUUCUCAAUAUAUCGGGCAUCAACCCACCUCCCAUGAGAUCUCUGAAUUUUCGACGCAUAUUACAUUUGCUGAAUUAUUUCCUCCAGAUAACUAUGCUUGGAUUCACAAAUGCGCGCAAUGCUUUCAAGUAGAGGUUAGUUCUACUUAAGCUGUGCUAUUCCACUUUCAAGUUUUUGGUCCUAGAAGUGUAAUACUUGGUAGGUUAGCUGUAGAAGCAGAAUGUAUAUGGCC